CAUAUCUUUUGUUUACAUUAAUAGCGUCAUGAUAUUGUUGUAUUCUACGGUGAGCUUGGAGGAGACGGAAGCGAUGUGAAAUAUUGAGCAGUCCUAAAGCUACACAUUUGUGUGCAGAAGGGGACAUGAUCCAAUUUCACCACUAUGCUGGAAUGUGUGGAAUGUAAUUGAAGACUUGCAUAGAAGCACAUCAAGUGGCAGCAAUCUGGUAUACUGUUAUUACAAUGGGCUGUGUGUGAUGAAAUAUCAAACCAUGCCACAAUAAUAGCUGCCCUGAGCAAACUCAGUCUAUAAGGUGGGGACCAUUUUCGGAAAUCAUAUGAUUAUGUUGUUUUGAUUCCAUCAAACAGGAAACCUUGACAGACACAUGUGGUGGCAAGAUAUAAAUUAAAGGGUAUAGAGACGGUCAUCAAAUUAUCUUUGUACCACACAUGCAGUUUGAAAAGAAUCUCUGCAAGGUGGCUCAUUGUGGUAAUUGAGUCAAUAAAUUGAAUGACAUUGACCAAAGUUGACUAGUAUUCGCUCACUGACAGUUUAACUAAUAGAUGACACUGUGUUUUAUGGCUUUAACAUGUCUGUCAAUAAAUGAUUUCAAACUUAAUUGCUCAUAACAUUGCAGCAACCGUCAACAUCGUGUACCAUUCUUGCUUUGGCGCUCUCAGCUGUUUACCAGUUUGUGUUAUCUAAAGUUGGCAGUGACAAAAAGAUCAAUAAAAAUGUUGUCUCAU